AGAGUUUGAUCCUGGCUCAGAACGAACGCUGGCGGCGUGGAUAAGACAUGCAAGUCGAACGAGAGAAUUGCUAGCUUGCUAAUAAUUCUCUAGUGGCGCACGGGUGAGUAACACGUGAGUAACCUGCCCCCGAGAGCGGGAUAGCCCUGGGAAACUGGGAUUAAUACCGCAUAGUAUCGAAAGAUUAAAGCAGCAAUGCGCUUGGGGAUGGGCUCGCGGCCUAUUAGUUAGUUGGUGAGGUAACGGCUCACCAAGGCGAUGACGGGUAGCCGGUCUGAGAGGAUGUCCGGCCACACUGGAACUGAGACACGGUCCAGACACCUACGGGUGGCAGCAGUCGAGAAUCAUUCACAAUGGGGGAAACCCUGAUGGUGCGACGCCGCGUGGGGGAAUGAAGGUCUUCGGAUUGUAAACCCCUGUCAUGUGGGAGCAAAUUAAAAAGAUAGUACCACAAGAGGAAGAGACGGCUAACUCUGUGCCAGCAGCCGCGGUAAUACAGAGGUCUCAAGCGUUGUUCGGAAUCACUGGGCGUAAAGCGUGCGUAGGCUGUUUCGUAAGUCGUGUGUGAAAGGCGCGGGCUCAACCCGCGGACGGCACAUGAUACUGCGAGACUAGAGUAAUGGAGGGGGAACCGGAAUUCUCGGUGUAGCAGUGAAAUGCGUAGAUAUCGAGAGGAACACUCGUGGCGAAGGCGGGUUCCUGGACAUUAACUGACGCUGAGGCACGAAGGCCAGGGGAGCGAAAGGGAUUAGAUACCCCUGUAGUCCUGGCAGUAAACGGUGCACGCUUGGUGUGCGGGGAAUCGACCCCCUGCGUGCCGGAGCUAACGCGUUAAGCGUGCCGCCUGGGGAGUACGGUCGCAAGAUUAAAACUCAAAGAAAUUGACGGGGACCCGCACAAGCGGUGGAGUAUGUGGCUUAAUUCGAUGCAACGCGAAGAACCUUACCUGGGCUUGACAUGUAAUGAACAACAUGUGAAAGCAUGCGACUCUUCGGAGGCGUUACACAGGUGCUGCGUGGCCGUCGUCAGCUCGUGUCGUGAGAUGUUUGGUUAAGUCCAGCAACGAGCGCAACCCCUGUUGCCAGUUACCAGCACGUGAAGGUGGGGACUCUGGCGAGACUGCCCAGAUCAACUGGGAGGAAGGUGGGGACGACGUCAGGUCAGUAUGGCCCUUAUGCCCAGGGCUGCACACGUACUACAAUGCCCAGUACAGAGGGGGCCGAAGCCGCGAGGCGGAGGAAAUCCUAAAAACUGGGCCCAGUUCGGACUGUAGGCUGCAACCCGCCUACACGAAGCCGGAAUCGCUAGUAAUGGCGCAUCAGCUACGGCGCCGUGAAUACGUUCCCGGGUCUUGUACACACCGCCCGUCACAUCAUGGAAGCCGGUCGCACCCGAAGUAUCUGAAGCCAACCGCAAGGAGGCAGGGUCCUAAGGUGAGACUGGUAACUGGGAUGAAGUCGUAACAAGGUA
rnacentral:rRNA from 1 species